rnacentral:rRNA from 1 species
GGGUUGUGAGGUUAAGCGACUAAGCGUACACGGUGGAUGCCCUGGCAGUCAGAGGCGAUGAAGGACGUGCUAAUCUGCGAUAAGCGUCGGUAAGGUGAUAUGAACCGUUAUAACCGGCGAUUUCCGAAUGGGGAAACCCAGUGUGUUUCGACACACUAUCAUUAACUGAAUCCAUAGGUUAAUGAGGCGAACCGGGGGAACUGAAACAUCUAAGUACCCCGAGGAAAAGAAAUCAACCGAGAUUCCCCCAGUAGCGGCGAGCGAACGGGGAGCAGCCCAGAGCCUGAAUCAGUGUGUGUGUUAGUGGAAGCGUCUGGAAAGGCGCGCGAUACAGGGUGACAGCCCCGUACACAAAAAUGCACAUGCUGUGAGCUCGAUGAGUAGGGCGGGACACGUGGUAUCCUGUCUGAAUAUGGGGGGACCAUCCUCCAAGGCUAAAUACUCCUGACUGACCGAUAGUGAACCAGUACCGUGAGGGAAAGGCGAAAAGAACCCCGGCGAGGGGAGUGAAAAAGAACCUGAAACCGUGUACGUACAAGCAGUGGGAGCACGCUUAGGCGUGUGACUGCGUACCUUUUGUAUAAUGGGUCAGCGACUUAUAUUCUGUAGCAAGGUUAACCGAAUAGGGGAGCCGAAGGGAAACCGAGUCUUAACUGGGCGUUAAGUUGCAGGGUAUAGACCCGAAACCCGGUGAUCUAGCCAUGGGCAGGUUGAAGGUUGGGUAACACUAACUGGAGGACCGAACCGACUAAUGUUGAAAAAUUAGCGGAUGACUUGUGGCUGGGGGUGAAAGGCCAAUCAAACCGGGAGAUAGCUGGUUCUCCCCGAAAGCUAUUUAGGUAGCGCCUCGUGAAUUCAUCUCCGGGGGUAGAGCACUGUUUCGGCAAGGGGGUCAUCCCGACUUACCAACCCGAUGCAAACUGCGAAUACCGGAGAAUGUUAUCACGGGAGACACACGGCGGGUGCUAACGUCCGUCGUGAAGAGGGAAACAACCCAGACCGCCAGCUAAGGUCCCAAAGUCAUGGUUAAGUGGGAAACGAUGUGGGAAGGCCCAGACAGCCAGGAUGUUGGCUUAGAAGCAGCCAUCAUUUAAAGAAAGCGUAAUAGCUCACUGGUCGAGUCGGCCUGCGCGGAAGAUGUAACGGGGCUAAACCAUGCACCGAAGCUGCGGCAGCGACGCUUAUGCGUUGUUGGGUAGGGGAGCGUUCUGUAAGCCUGUGAAGGUGUGCUGUGAGGCAUGCUGGAGGUAUCAGAAGUGCGAAUGCUGACAUAAGUAACGAUAAAGCGGGUGAAAAGCCCGCUCGCCGGAAGACCAAGGGUUCCUGUCCAACGUUAAUCGGGGCAGGGUGAGUCGACCCCUAAGGCGAGGCCGAAAGGCGUAGUCGAUGGGAAACAGGUUAAUAUUCCUGUACUUGGUGUUACUGCGAAGGGGGGACGGAGAAGGCUAUGUUGGCCGGGCGACGGUUGUCCCGGUUUAAGCGUGUAGGCUGGUUUUCCAGGCAAAUCCGGAAAAUCAAGGCUGAGGCGUGAUGACGAGGCACUACGGUGCUGAAGCAACAAAUGCCCUGCUUCCAGGAAAAGCCUCUAAGCAUCAGGUAACAUCAAAUCGUACCCCAAACCGACACAGGUGGUCAGGUAGAGAAUACCAAGGCGCUUGAGAGAACUCGGGUGAAGGAACUAGGCAAAAUGGUGCCGUAACUUCGGGAGAAGGCACGCUGAUAUGUAGGUGAGGUCCCUCGCGGAUGGAGCUGAAAUCAGUCGAAGAUACCAGCUGGCUGCAACUGUUUAUUAAAAACACAGCACUGUGCAAACACGAAAGUGGACGUAUACGGUGUGACGCCUGCCCGGUGCCGGAAGGUUAAUUGAUGGGGUUAGCGCAAGCGAAGCUCUUGAUCGAAGCCCCGGUAAACGGCGGCCGUAACUAUAACGGUCCUAAGGUAGCGAAAUUCCUUGUCGGGUAAGUUCCGACCUGCACGAAUGGCGUAAUGAUGGCCAGGCUGUCUCCACCCGAGACUCAGUGAAAUUGAACUCGCUGUGAAGAUGCAGUGUACCCGCGGCAAGACGGAAAGACCCCGUGAACCUUUACUAUAGCUUGACACUGAACAUUGAGCCUUGAUGUGUAGGAUAGGUGGGAGGCUUUGAAGUGUGGACGCCAGUCUGCAUGGAGCCGACCUUGAAAUACCACCCUUUAAUGUUUGAUGUUCUAACGUUGACCCGUAAUCCGGGUUGCGGACAGUGUCUGGUGGGUAGUUUGACUGGGGCGGUCUCCUCCUAAAGAGUAACGGAGGAGCACGAAGGUUGGCUAAUCCUGGUCGGACAUCAGGAGGUUAGUGCAAUGGCAUAAGCCAGCUUGACUGCGAGCGUGACGGCGCGAGCAGGUGCGAAAGCAGGUCAUAGUGAUCCGGUGGUUCUGAAUGGAAGGGCCAUCGCUCAACGGAUAAAAGGUACUCCGGGGAUAACAGGCUGAUACCGCCCAAGAGUUCAUAUCGACGGCGGUGUUUGGCACCUCGAUGUCGGCUCAUCACAUCCUGGGGCUGAAGUAGGUCCCAAGGGUAUGGCUGUUCGCCAUUUAAAGUGGUACGCGAGCUGGGUUUAGAACGUCGUGAGACAGUUCGGUCCCUAUCUGCCGUGGGCGCUGGAGAACUGAGGGGGGCUGCUCCUAGUACGAGAGGACCGGAGUGGACGCAUCACUGGUGUUCGGGUUGUCAUGCCAAUGGCACUGCCCGGUAGCUAAAUGCGGAAGAGAUAAGUGCUGAAAGCAUCUAAGCACGAAACUUGCCCCGAGAUGAGUUCUCCCUGACCCUUUAAGGGUCCUGAAGGAACGUUGAAGACGACGACGUUGAUAGGCCGGGUGUGUAAGCGCAGCGAUGCGUUGAGCUAACCGGUACUAAUGAACCGUGAGGCUUAACCUUACAACGCCGAAG